CAACUUCCAUAAUUGAUUUAUUAAUCGCGUGUUUUCCAGUGUUUUAUCCACAUUAACGUCAAACAUGCUAAUGAUUUACUCCCUCCACUCUUUUUGUCCAGCCUGUCCAAGGCUUCGACUAUGCGAAGAAGCACUUGGGUCGGACGGGGGAAGAGACCGUCUCCGUUACCAAGGAGACGCUGGUGAUGAGUCUACCUGUACGUGAUGCUCCUCUGUCCAUGUCAUUGGAUAAAAAGAUCCACCAGGAUGGGACUGCCAGUAAGAGGCCUCCAUCUGCUGAUAUACACAAAGGAGGGCUGUUGCCAAGUGAAGAGGACGGCUCGGUGUCAAGCAAAGGCUCUGGGAUGCUAAACACCAGCAAAAGCUCGUCGGCACGGAGAACCGUUACCGGCGGCAGCAUCAAGAACGACCCUUAUGAUGAGCAUUCAGGCUCUCUGCGUCUCAUUGCCAUCAAACCAAUGACGGCCCAGCCCACCUACUCCUACCCCUUAUCCACUUCUCACAGCCAAGACUCAAUUGUUGUCAAUGGAGAGGUGAGUAUCCCACACACACACACACACACACACACGCUCACACUGAAUGUACACAUCUUUUAGAUUUUCCUGCACACAGAGCUAGCUGGUAA
rnacentral:lncRNA from 1 species